GCGAGUUAGUGGGUAAUCGCUCUUUUAGUUUAAUCAGAAGAGAGGAAAGUCCGAACAGCAUAGAGUACAGUAGUUGCUAACGGCAACCAGGGGUGACCCUCGGGAAAGUGCCGCAGAAACAAUACCGCUUCAAUUUAUUGGAGUAAGGGUGAAAAGAGUGAGGUAAGAGCUCACAGUGCUAUAUGGUGACAUAUGGCAGUGGUAAACCCUACUGGCUGUAAGAUUAUGGGCCCUUUUUACCUUUUGGUAGAAGAAGCUACUCGCUUUAUAUUCAGGGUAUAUCGCACGAUUAGCAUUAAGCUAACGUUUGCUUCGGCAAAAGAUAGAUGAUUACCGAUUUUCACUUUGGUGAAGAAGACAAAAUUCGGCUUAUAGCUAACUCUCUAUA
rnacentral:RNase_P_RNA from 1 species